CCUACGGGAGGCAGCAGUGAGGAAUAUUGGUCAAUGGGCGAGAGCCUGAACCAGCCAAGUAGCGUGAAGGAUGAAGGCCCUACGGGUCGUAAACCGCUUUUGUACGGGGAUAACACCCUCCACUUGUGGAGUUCUGUAGGUACCGUGCGAAUAAGGGCCGGCUAAUUCCGUGCCAGCAGCCGCGGUAAUACGGAGGGCCCGAGCGUUAUCCGGAUUUAUUGGGCUUAAAGGGAGCGUAGGCGGACGUUCAAGUCAGCUGUGAAAUCUUAUGGCUGAACCAUAGAACUGCAUUUGAAACUGUCAGUCUAGAGUAGAGGAGAGGUAGGUGGAAUUCGUGGUGUAGCGGUAAAAUGCGUAGAGAUCAAGAAGAAUACUGAUUGCGAAGGCAACCUGCUAGAACAUAACUGACACUGAGGCUCGAAAGCGUGGGGAGCAAACAGGAUUAGAUACCCGUGUAGUC
rnacentral:rRNA from 1 species